GAUGAACGCUGGCGGCGUGCUUAACACAUGCAAGUCGAACGAGAAAUGUAGACGGAAACCUUCGGGCGGAAGCCUUCAUUUCGAGUGGCGGACGGGUGAGUAACGCGUGGGUAACCUGCCUCAUACAGGGGGAUAACAGUUGGAAACGACUGUUAAUACCGCAUAAGACCACAGCAUCGCAUGAUGCGGGGGUAAAAACUCCGGUGGUAUGAGAUGGACCCGCGUUCGAUUAGCCAGUUGGCGGGGUAACGGCCCACCAAAGCGACGAUCGAUAGCCGAUCUGAGAGGAUGACCGGCCACAUUGGGACUGAGACACGGCCCAAACUCCUACGGGAGGCAGCAGUGGGGAAUAUUGCACAAUGGGGGAAACCCUGAUGCAGCGACGCCGCGUGAGUGAAGAAGUACUUCGGUAUGUAAAGCUCUAUCAGCAGGGAAGAAAAUGACGGUACCGGAGUAAGAAGCCCCGGCUAACUACGU
rnacentral:rRNA from 1 species